rnacentral:rRNA from 1 species
UACGAAGGGGGCUAGCGUUGCUCGGAAUCACUGGGCGUAAAGGGUGCGUAGGCGGGUCUUUAAGUCAGGGGUGAAAUCCUGGAGCUCAACUCCAGAACUGCCUUUGAUACUGAAGAUCUUGAGUUCGGGAGAGGUGAGUGGAACUGCGAGCGUAGAGGUGAAAUUCGUAGAUAUUCGCAAGAACACCAGUGGCGAAGGCGGCUCACUGGCCCGAUACUGACGCUGAGGCACGAAAGCGUGGGGAGCAAACAGG